UACGAGAGGCCCAAACGUUAUUCGGAAUUACUGGGCUUAAAGAGUUCGUAGGCGGCAUGAAAAGUAGGGUGUGAAAGCCCUCGGCUCAACCGAGGAAUUGCGCUCUAAACUGUCGUGCUCGAGGAAUCUAGAGGUGAGCGGAACUGAUGGUGGAGCGGUGAAAUGCGUUGAUAUCAUCAGGAACACCGGAGGCGAAGGCGGCUCACUGGGGAUUUUCUGACGCUGAGGAACGAAAGCCAAGGGAGCGAACGGG
rnacentral:rRNA from 1 species